rnacentral:rRNA from 1 species
UACGUAGGGUGCAAGCGUUGUCCGGAAUUAUUGGGCGUAAAGAGCUCGUAGGUGGUUUGUUACGUCUGCUGUGAAAACCUAGGGCUUAACCCUGGGCUUGCAGUGGAUACGGGCAGACUAGAGGUAGGUAGGGGAGAAUGGAAUUCCUGGUGUAGCGGUGAAAUGCGCAGAUAUCGGGAAGAAUAUCCGUGGCGAAGGCGGCUCUCUGGUACGGCACUGACGCUGAGACGCGAAAGCGUGGGGAGCGAACAGG